rnacentral:rRNA from 1 species
CCCGCUCAGAAACUACAAAUAGUAAGUGACCGGGGGGCCCGCCACAAGCGGUGGAGCAUGUGGUUUUAAGUUCGAUGAUACGCGAGGAACCUUACCUGGGCUCAAAUGUAUGUUGACGUAUUCUGAAAGGGAUACUUCUUCGGACAAUAUACAAGGUGCUGCAUGGUUGUCGUCAGCUCGUGCCGUGAGGUGUCGGGUUAAGUCCCAUAACGAGCGCAACCCCUAUCAUUAGUUGCCAUCAGGUCAAGCUGGGGACUCUAAAGGAACUGCCUACGCAGGUAGUGAGGAAGGCGGGGAUGACGUCAAAUCAGCACGGCCCUUACGUCCAGGGCUACACACGUGCUACAAUGGCCGAUACAGAGGGCAGCUACCUGGUGACAGGAUGCAAAUCUCCAAAGUCGGUCUCAGUUCGGAUCGGAGUCUGCAACUCGACUCCAUGAAGUUGGAAUCGCUAGUAAUCGUGGAUCAGCAUGCCACGGUGAAUACGUUCCCGGGCCUU